UACGUAGGGUGCGAGCGUUAAUCGGAAUUACUGGGCGUAAAGCGUGCGCAGGCGGUUCGUUAAGUCAGCUGUGAAAGCCCCGGGCUCAACCUGGGAAUUGCGGUUGAAACUGGCGAACUAGAAUCUGGCAGAGGGGGGUGGAAUUCCGCGUGUAGCAGUGAAAUGCGUAGAUAUGCGGAGGAACACCGAUGGCGAAGGCAAUCCCCUGGACCUGUACUGACGCUCAUGCACGAAAGCGUGGGGAGCAAACAGG
rnacentral:rRNA from 1 species